AACACGUGAUCACCCACGCUUGCAGUUCAGAGUCGCUGAGACAACAGGAACAGCAGAUGCUGGGGCAUCUGAGAUGACACGGUGUGUAGCUGGAUGAACACAGCAGGUCAAGCAGCAUCAGGCGAGCAGGAAAGCUGACGUUUCGGGCCUAGAUCCUUCGCUGAGACCAAGAUUUGUGCAAUUGAGAUACCAGCGAUCAUUGCCAAAACCCUGUUGCCUGUGGAGAAGGUGAUAUUUAACUUCCGUGUGCUGCUGCAGUUCGUAUGAUAAAGGUGCUCCCACAAUGCUCCAUUUGAGAAGUUACAGAUCGUUCAUCUAGCGAUACUGAAGAGCUGAUGGUGACUGUGCGGUGGUCGCUGUUAUCAAUCCUGACAGGGACAGAUGCAUCUGCAGCUGGGAAAUUUGUGACAAUGAGAUCAGCUAUGUUUUUCCCUUUUGUUGGUUGUGUCAGCACCUGCUGCAGUCCCAGCCAGGCAGCUUUGACCAGCUUGAUUGGUAAUCCUGAUGCUGAACUACUCCUGAUGGUCGACAUUGAGUACAUUUAGUGCCAUUCACACUCACACUGUUUCUCCAAGUGCUAUUCGACAUGUAGUUUUUUUUUAAAAUUAAAAUUCACUCUUCAGAUGUGGAAAUCACUGGCUGGACCAGCAUUUAUUGCCCAUCCCUAAUUGCCCCAAAGGCAGUUAAGAGUCAACCACAUUGCUGUGGGUUUGGAGUUGCAUGUCAUGCAGACCAGGAUAAUAGAAGUGGACUUUCAGGUGGGGAACUCAAUAAUUGUAACAACAAACUCUGACAGAAUUACUCAAUUCAUCAGCACCUGGAUAUUCGCAUUGUGUGAGAGUGUUGUGUUCCUGCUCAUUUCCCAUUUACCGUGUAAAAUUUCUCUCUUAAAUCACCCCAUUCUCUCAAUAG